GAUGAAGAACGCAGUGAAAUGCGAUAAGUAGUGUGAAUUGCAGAAUUCAGUGAAUCAUCGAAUCUUUGAACGCACAUUGCGCCCCUUGGUAUUCCAUGGGGCAUGCCUGUUCGAGCGUCAUUUGUACCCUCAAGCACUGCUUGGUGUUGGGUGUUUGUCCCGCUUUGCGCGUGGACUCGCCUUAAAGCAAUUGGCAGCCGGCAGAUUGGCCUGGAUCGCGAGCACAUUUUGCGACCUUGUCAUAACUGUUUGGCACCCAUCAAGACUAUUUUUUGCUCUUGACCUCGGAUCAGGUAGGGAUACCCGCUGAACUUAAGCAUAUCAAUAAGCGGAGGA
rnacentral:misc_RNA from 1 species